CGGUUCUAUGGGCUGACAUAGACUCCCAGUCGGAAGAAUAAUAAUAAUAAAUAUAGCUGCAAGCAGCAAUUACGGGGCCAAGCACUCCAACGGCAAAUGUAGGAGCUAAGCAUGGCAUGAAGCAUCACACCAAAUACAUUAAUGAGCAAUAACAGUAAUUUUGGAAUUAUUGUAAUUGAAAUGGCAAAAAAAAAAUCAUAAUACCACCUCUAGUAGCAUGAUUACUUGGCUUAUAAAGUUUGACCAAUAGGUGGCACUGUUAUGAAAUCAAUUUGGUGUACUCUGUUUGACUUUUCAAUGACACACACAAAGUUUGGUGUUAAUAUGCCACAGCAUUCCAGAGAUGCAGCCUCAAGUGUCAUUUUGUCAUUGUGUUUCAACUUCGUCGCUUUGGUAUGCGAAAACGGUUUUGUCUAUCGACACAAAAUCCAUAACUUUGUGUCAACAUAGUCUGAAGAUCAUCUGAUUCGAAUUUGGUGAAAAUUGGACCUACGGUUCAUGAGGAGUUUGAAAAAGUAGGUUUUCCACAUAAAUCAAAAUGGUGGACCGGAACUUCAGUAAACACUGGCAUAUUUGGUAUCUAUGUUAUCGGCAUAAGCCAGGGAAUAUUUUGAGCCCAGUUUCGUUGCAAUAGGCUAAUGGACUAAAAAGUUAUUAGCAUUUUAAAAAGUGUAAUUACUCAUGGUUAAUGAAUGGUUUAUUACUCUUGACCAAUAGGUGGCGCUGUUACCAAAUUUAUGUGGCAUGGUCAGUGUGAGGUAGCGAUGACACGUACAAAGUUUGGUGUAAAUAUGUCAAAGCGUUGCAGAGAUACAGCCUCAAAUGCAUUUUGGCACCCUUCCAACAAAUUCGUUGAUGCGCUUAAUGAGAACCGUUUCAUAUAUCGACACGAAAUCCAUAACUUUUUGCCAGCCUGGUCUGAAGAUGAUACACGUCAAAUUUGGUGAAAAUCGGACUAACGGUCUAGGAGGAGUUCGAAAAAGUAGGUUUUCAACAUUAAUCAAAAUGGCGGACAGGAAGUAUGGCCAAUAUUCGCAUAAUUGGUAUCAAUGCUCUCGGCUUUACCCACAGAAUAUAGGGAGGCCAUUUUAAUUUUAAUAGUCUAAUUUAUUCAAAAGUUAUUAGCGUUUAUGUGAUAUUUCAUUAUAACUAUUGGCCACAAGGUGGCGCUGCCACCAAACUUUUUGAGUAUCUUCAGGGCAUGGAGCCGAAUAUUUUUGUAAUUAUUUGCGAAACGAUACGAUGCUGCGUUCAAAAAAUACAGCAUUUUGAAACAUAAUUCAAAAUGGCCGACGCCUAAAAUGGCCGACACAGGAAAAUUGGAUAUCAUUCGACUCGACAUGACUCACUGAAUCUAAAGAGACCAGUUGUGUGAUUUUUGGCCAAACCAUUCAGUAGUUAUAAGCCAAAAUAUGCAUUUUUCAUAUCUCCUGACCACUAGGUGGCGCUGUGUCGAAACACAGCAGG